UUCUUGUGAUUGACAAAUAGGAGGGAGGUGAUGAGGAAGAGUUUGAUAAGUCCAAGUCUGAAGUGAAUGAUGAUGAGGAAGACGGCAGAUCAGAAGAUCACAC